rnacentral:rRNA from 1 species
AUUGAACGCUGGCGGCAGGCCUAACACAUGCAAGUCGAGCGGGGUUUUCGGACCUAGCGGCGGACGGGUGAGUAAUGCGUAGGAAGCUACCCGAUAGAGGGGGAUACCAGUUGGAAACGACUGUUAAUACCGCAUAAUGUCUACGGACCAAAGUGUGGGACCUUCGGGCCACAUGCUAUCGGAUGCGCCUACGUGGGAUUAGCUAGUUGGUGAGGUAAUGGCUCACCAAGGCGACGAUCUCUAGCUGGUUUGAGAGGAUGAUCAGCCACACUGGAACUGAGACACGGUCCAGACUCCUACGGGAGGCAGCAGUGGGGAAUAUUGGACAAUGGGCGCAAGCCUGAUCCAGCCAUGCCGCGUGUGUG